AGAGUGAACGCUGGCGGUAGGCCUAACACAUGCAAGUCGAACGGUAGCACAGUGGUAGCAAUACCAUGGGUGGCGAGUGGCGGACGGGUGAGGAAUACAUCGGAAUCUACCUUUUCGUGGGGGAUAACGUAGGGAAACUUACGCUAAUACCGCAUACGCCCUUCGGGGGAAAGCCGGGGAUCGCAAGACCUGGCGCGGAUAGAUGAGCCGAUGUCGGAUUAGCUAGUUGGUGAGGUAAUGGCUCACCAAGGCGACGAUCCGUAACUGGUCUGAGAGGAUGAUCAGUCACACUGGAACUGGGACACGGUCCAGACUCCUACGGGAGGCAGCAGUGGGAAUAGUUGACAAUGGGCGAAAGCCUGAUCCAGCCAUGCCGCGUGUGUGAAGAAGGUCUUCGAUUAGUAAAGCACGUUUAAGUUGGUAGAAGGUUAGUAAUUAAGUACGUUGCUAACGUUUGAACGUUACCGACAGAAUAAGCACGACUAAUCGCGCCAGCAGCG
rnacentral:rRNA from 1 species